AGACCGCAGAGCAAACCGGCAAAGGGAGGAGUCUCGCUCUCACCAUGAACAAUUACACCGUAAAGUUUUGCAGAUAUGCUGGAUUCACUGAAGCACACCACGAGAGUAUUUCUCUGAAACCCACCUCCACCCCAGCUCAAAUUGUCUAGAACUGCUACAAGAGCCUAUUGUAUCAUUGCAUAGCUGGUGGAUGUUCAGAGACCGGUUGAGACCAAAGUCGGUUUGAGUCUGCCUGGAUGGGUUUGGCAUGUGGGACUCUGCUGGUGGCCCUUUCUCUCUUCUUCACUGAGCCUGCUGCCUUUGUCAUUAUUUAUUUAGCCCUUAAGUGUUUAAAAUGGAAAGGUCUAGAGGGACUAAGAAUAGCUGAUGAAAAUAUUCGCCGAUACAGUGCAGGGCAGGAGGAGAUAUUUUUUUUCCCAUUUUUUCUGAUUCUUGGUGAGAUAACCUGUGUACCUGAAGCUUGGAUAAAGAUAGUCCUUGAUGUACUGUGUAUUCAUUUAGUGUUGUGUCAUAAAGAACCUAAAAUGACAGAAGAGAUGAGGGACUGAGUAUCAUAUUGUCUGUGUGUCUGUGUAAUGGGAGAUCCACUUGAAUAACUGAUCUUUGACUGGGGGUCCCCAAAGGGGCAUCACUGGCCUGAAGCAAUUGGCCCUUGAGAUAACAUCAUCAUCAGACACCCCCCAGGUCAAAGUUCACCCCAGGGACCAUGCAUAGGCCAUUGCUUUUGUUAACCAGUUUGAGUUUGGAUGUCAUAGAAAGGUCUUAUCAAUCUUGUCUGAGCUGUGCAAUGAUUUAUUGUCUGUUUAUGUUGGCACGUCUAAGAUUGUUUCUUUAUUACCACCGACAAAUAGUCAGCUAUUAAAUUUUCAGUCAGUUGAGUCACACUUUUAACAUUUUGAAUCCUGUACGAUUUUGGAUUCUUCAGUAUAUACAGUGCAUGUGCCUAAAUUGGUACAAAUUUUGGCCUAAUUUUUGGUUCAUUAUUUAUAAUAAGCACAACAUACAAUAAACUGAAUACUAUAAAUAAGUGACAUUUUGAGCAUGUAUACUUUGAUUAAUAUGAACUAAAUUACAUGUUUAUUAAGGUCACAUGGGUCUCAUUAUAGUAUGGUAUGUUGUAAUGCAGUUUUAAAUUGCUAUUAUAAUUUAUGACAGAUAGACAUAGAUGCAGAUAUGCUAAUAAAAAAUGUGUGUUCUGAUCACCAAUAAACUAUCUCAGUCAGGGAAUGCAAUGCACAACAGUCGCAAACUGUUUCCCUUUCAGCCUCUGUUUUUUUUUUUUUUUUUUUUGUCUUUUACUUUAUAUUGAUUUUAGAUUGUCCAGAUUUGGUUGCCUUGCUCAUCUAUUUCUCUUUCUCUCUUGCCUCCCCUCUCAAGUUUAGAAAAGCCGGGCCUCUGUUAGAGCAUCUGUGACCGUAAAAUGUCCCAUUAGGGAAUCACACUCACUCACUCACUCAACACAUCAAAAAAUGAUGACACAAAUCUGUAUUGAUCAGAAGAGGUUUGAAGUUGUCUGGCUUUUGUCUGUGCAUGGAUGCCUGCUGAAAUUUUGGCAUAUUUCCUCCAAUCACACAUAAAUAAAAACAUUU